UCUGGGAAAAAUCCGGGAAAAAUCUGGGAAAAUUUGGGGUUUUGGGGGGGUUUUAGGGGGAUUUUUGGGGAUUAUGGGGUUUUUUUUGUGAGAUUUUGGGGUUUUUGGGGGGGAUUUGGAGAGGGAUUCACCUGGAAUAUCCCUGGAUUCCCAAAAUUCCAUGGAAUUCUCUGGAAUUCCCAAAAAAACCCCAAAAAUUUUGGGGUUUUGGGGGGGGUUUUAGGGGGAUUUUUGGGGUUUUUUGGUGAAAUUUGGGGGUUUUUGGGGGGAUUUGGAGAGGGAUUCACCUGGAAUGUCCCUGGAUUCCCAGAAUUCCCCAAAUUCCAUGGAAUUCUCUGGAAUUCUCAAAAAAAUCCACCAAAAUUUGGGGUUUGGGGAGGUUUUAGGGGGAUUUUUGGGGGAUUUUUGGGGUUUUUAGGGGGGAUUUUGGGGUUUUUGGGGGGGAUUUGGAGAUGGAUUCACCUGGAAUUUUCUGGAUUCCCAGAAUUCCCAAAAUUCCAUGGAAUUUUCCCGAAUUUUCUCCCCCCAGGACGGGUCCCUGAGCCGGGAGGAGAUUUUGGGGAGUUGGGAGCUUUUCGUGGGGAGCCGAGCCACGGACUACGGGCAGGACCUGCACAGGGCCCACGACGAGCUCUGAGAGCCCCAAAAAUUCCCAAAAAAUUCCCAAAAUAUCCCCAAAACAUUCCCAAAAUAUCCCAAAAAUAUUCCCAAAAAAUCCCUGGAAAUAUUCCCAAAAAAAUCCUGUCCUCACCUGAAAAAAUCCGGGAUUUUUGGGGGAAAAUUUGGGGGAAUAAAUGGAAUUUUGGUGAGUCCACAACCCCCAAAAAAUUCCCAAAAUAUCCCAAAAUAUCCCAAAAAUAUUCCCAAAAAAUCCCUGGAAAUAUUCCCAAAAAGUCCCAAAAAAUUCCCAAAAAAACCCCUCAAAAAUUCCCAAUAAAUUCCAAUAAAUUCCUGGAAAAAAAAUUGGGUAUUUGGGGAGUGAAAUUGGGAAUUUCAGGAGGGAAAAAUUGGGGAUUUUGGGGAGGGGAAAAAUGGGAAUUUUGGGGGAAAAAUUGGGAAUUUGGGGGGGGGAAAUUGGGAUUUUUAAGGCGGAAAAAAUGGGAAUUUUUGGGGGGAAAAAUUGGAUUUUGAGGGGGAGAAAAAUUGGGGAUUUUGGGGGGAAAAAUGGGAAUUUAGGGAAGGGAAAUUGGGAAUUUUUGGGAGGGAAAAAAUGGGAAUUUUUGGGAAAAAAAAAGGGAAUUUUGGGGGGAAAAAUUGGAAUUUUGGGGGGGAAAAAUGGGGAUUUG
rnacentral:lncRNA from 1 species